AGAAAGUCAAUGUAUCUAACCAAUUACUCUCCUAAUGUUUCACAUCAGAAUAGUGCUAGUUGAUGAAAGUUACUUCGGGAUCAAGAAAGGUAAAGUCAAAUUUAUUUGGGUUAUUCGCUCAAUUCCAAUCGAAUGCACUGGAUCUAGUAUAGUAUGAAUUGGCGAUCAGAACAUAUAUGGAUAGAACUUAUAACGGGGUCUCGAAAAACGAGUAAUUUUUGCUGGGCCUGUAUCCUUUUUUUAGGUUCACUAGGAUUCUUAGUGGUUGGAACUUCCAGUUAUCUUGGUAGGAAUUUGAUACCCGUAUUUACAUCUCAGCAAAUCAUUUUUUUUCCACAAGGGAUCGUGAUGUCUUUCUACGGGAUCGCGGGUCUAUUCAUUAGCUCGUAUUUGUGGUGCACAAUUUCGUGGAAUGUAGGUAGCGGUUAUGACCGAUUCGAUAGAAAAGAAGGAAUAGUGUGUAUUUUUCGCUGGGGAUUUCCUGGAAUAAAUCGUCGCAUCUUCCUUCGCUUCUUUAUGAGAGAUAUCCAAUCAAUCAGAAUAGAGGUUAAAGAGGGUCUUUAUACUCGUCGUGUCCUUUAUAUGGAAAUCAGAGGCCAAGGAGCCAUUCCCUUGACUCGUACUGAUGAGAAUUUUACUCCACGAGAAAUUGAACAAAAAGCUGCCGAAUUGGCCUAUUUCUUGCGCGUACCAAUUGAAGUAUUUUGAAACGAACUGAAGUGAAGAAUAAAAUGAAGAAUAAAUAUUUUCUCAAGAUGGGGGAAGGAACUUGCUAAUUCCUCUUUUAAUACAACUGAAGUUUCUUCAUUCUUUUAUACUAGAAAAAGGUCUAAUCUAACUAACGAAUCUAAUCUAAUAAGUAUAGAUAUAAAUUCAUCAAACCUAUCCGAACAUGUAUUUCGUAAUACAGAAUUCAUCUUUUUAGGCCCAAGAUUUGGAAUUGAUACCCUUUUCUGGUUAGACGGUGAAACAUUUCGAAAGAAUUAAUUGAUCCAGGGGGAGUUUUUUCGUCUCGAAACUCGAUUCGUUACUUCAAGUGGGUUUUCGAGUAUUCAUCGAAAGGAACAAAUGAAAAUAAAAUUGGUUCAAAUUUGCCCAAUUGAGAUAUCUGGAAUAAUAUUUAUUUCUUUUUUUCUCAUUUUCAUCCGAAAAGAACUCUUAUUCUAUGUCUAUAUUCCUUCUAAAUCAAAAAAAAAAUAAAAUUAUUACACAAUAAUAGGAAAGGAAUAGACCCAUAGGUCAAUACCUUGUUAUACAACUCGUGCUUCAAAGAAAUAUCAGAUCAGAUAGAGUCAACGAAUGAAGCAGGUUCAUUAACAAUUCAAUUCACAGAAAAAAAAAAAUGAAAAAAAAGAAAGCAUCGGCCUCCCUCCCAUAUCUCGCAUCUAUAGUAUUUUUGCCCUGGUGGGUCUCUUUCUCAUUUAAUAAAUGUCUGGAACCUUGGGUUACUAAUUGGUGGAAUACCAGGCAAUCCGAAAAUUUUUUGAAUCAUAUUCAAGAGAAAAACGUUCUGGAAAGAUUCAUAGAAUUAGAAGAACUAUUCCUAUUGGACGAAAUGAUAAAGGAGUACCCGGAAACGCAUAUACAAAAACUUCAUAUAGAAAUACACAAGGAAACAAUACAAUUAGUCAAAGCACACAAUGAAUAUGAUCUCCAUAUCAUUUUGCAUUUCUCGACAAAUAUAAUCUGUUUCGCUAUUCUAAGUGGUUAUUUUAUUCUGAGUAAUGAAGAACUCGUCAUUCUUAAUUCUUGGGUUCAGGAAUUCCUCUAUAACUUAAGUGACACAAUAAAAGCUUUUUCUAUUCUUUUAGUUACUGAUUUAUGGAUCGGAUUUCACUCGACCCAUGGUUGGGAACUAAUGAUUGGUUCGGUCUACAACGAUUUUGGAUUGGAUCAUAACGAUCAAAUUAUAUCUGGUCUUGUUUCCACUUUUCCAGUUAUUCUAGAUACAAUUGUGAAAUAUUGGAUCUUCCUUUUUUUAAAUCGUGUAUCUCCUUCGCUUGUAGUAAUUUAUCAUUCAAUGAAUGAAUAAAGAACUCAUUUGAUCUUAUUAUAUCAAUCAAAUCAGAAUCUUUCUUCGUGUAUAAAGAAAGUAUUUUCAAUUUGACUUAAUUCUUUAUACUUUUAUCUGUUCAAGGUAUUCGUCCUAUAUUCCAGUACAAUUAUUCCAGUACAAUGACAGACUCGUGUAUAGGGAACUAUACUAGCUACCUAUCUAAUUUAUUGUAGAAAUUCGGGGAUCAAUGAUUGGACAUGCAAAAUAAAAAUACUUUUUCUUGGGUAAAGGAAGAGAUGACUCGAUCCAUUUCUGUAUCGAUCAUGAUAUAUGUAAUAACUCGGGCAUCUAUUUCAAAUGCAUAUCCCAUUUUUGCGCAGCAGGGUUAUGAAAACCCGCGAGAAGCAACGGGACGAAUUGUAUGUGCCAAUUGCCAUUUAGCUAAUAAACCCGUGGAUAUUGAAGUUCCGCAAGCUGUGCUUCCUGAUACUGUAUUUGAAGCAGUUGUUCGAAUCCCUUAUGAUAAGCAACUGAAACAAGUUCUUGCUAAUGGUAAAAAGGGGACUUUGAAUGUGGGGGCUGUUCUCAUUUUACCCGACGGAUUCGAAUUAGCCCCCCUUGAUCGUAUUUCUCCUGAGUUGAAAGAAAAGAUAGGAAAUCUGUCUUUUCAGAGUUAUCGUCCCAACAAAAGAAAUAUUAUUGUGAUAGGUCCUGUUCCCGGUCAGAAAUAUAGUGAAAUCGUCUUUCCCAUUCUUUCCCCCGACCCUGCUACGAAGAAAGACGUUCACAUUCUUAAAAUAUCCCAUAUACGUAGGUGGGAACAGAGGAAGGGGUCAGAUUUAUCCUGAUGGUAGCAAAAGUAACAAUACAGUCUAUAAUGCUACAUCAGCAGGUAUAGUAAGCAGAAUAGUACGUAAAGAAAAAGGGGGAUAUGAAAUAACCAUAGUUGAUGCAUCGGAUGGACAUCAAGUGGUUGAUAUUAUACCUCCAGGACCAGAACUUCUUGUUUCAGAGGGUGAAUCCAUCAAGCUUGAUCAACCAUUAACAAGCAAUCCCAAUGUGGGAGGCUUUGGUCAGGGAGAUGCAGAAAUAGUGCUUCAAGACCCAUUACGGGUCCAAGGUCUUUUGUUCUUCUUGGCAUCUGUUAUUUUGGCACAAGUUUUUUUGGUUCUUAAAAAGAAACAGUUUGAAAAGGUUCAAUUGUACGAAAUGAAUUUCUAGGUGCAGAGAUUCCUUAACAUCAAGUUGGUAAAAAGCGCCGAAUUUUUUUUGAUCCAUACAAUUAUGUAUGAUCAAAAAAUCUGUAAACCUUUUUGGUUGCUUUGUUUAUACUUUUUUUUCGUUUUGCGGGAUGUCUGGAAUUCAUUACUUGUAUCCUAUUCUUAGUAAUAGACAAUAGACAUACAAAGAAAGAGAAUACAGAGCAAGGAUGGGAAAAAUGAAAGAAAGAAAUCCUUUUAGGAGGGAUUACUAGUCUUACGAGUCUUCUAUUCGACACAAGAAAAGGGCGGAAAAUCCUUUUUCUUGUGUCGUCUUAUAUCGAAAUAAUAAUGAUUUUUUCUCCUGUUCGUCAAAGAUUACCAUUCCUUCUUUUCCGGGUCCACCAGAACUCUUUUGGUUAGAUUCAUAGGAAGUUGUGGACAAACAAAAAGAGAGAAAGGAUUAGGGGAAUAAUUGAUUGAGCAAAUAGAACUUCUUCAAUUAACUUAAACUUUUAACUUAGAGAAAUUAUUCAAGAGAAAUUAUUCAAACAAAUUAUAUUAUAGAGUUUUAUAGAGUAAGUUCUAUAGAGUAAGUUCUAUUAGUAGUUUAGUAUAGAAAUUAUUUGCAGGAUGUCUCAUGCGUAGAAAUCUAUAUAAUAUUGUAUUAUUCAGAAAAUCCAUUGAUUACUCUUUUCUUGUUUCUUCAUAAGAGUUAAUAUUAUGGAGGAAAGGAAGAACAGAGACUAUGAAUCAAUCAAUAGAUUCAAUUCUUCAAAAACAUUAUUAAGAAACAAAAGAAUAGAGUGGUUUGAAACAUCAGAGCAAAGGAUCCGUUUUGUCAUUUCAUUUCUACGAAUAUAAUAUUUUGAUUAUGUUGACUGGCCAAUUUGUAUGUUAUGGAAUAGAUCAUAAUCUUCCUAUAAGAGUAAGAAAAGAACUCAACGGGACCUUAUCGCUCUAAUUAGACAAAGGAGGGUAAGGUCCCGUUGAGUUCUUUUCUUACUCUUUCAUGUCUACAAUCCGGUUUAUCCGAUUACUAGAGAGAUGAACCCAACCCAGAAUAUGAACCGUAAAAGAAAACACCUAUUAAACCGAUCACAGGAAUACCAGUUACAGUACCAACCAGCCAAAGAGGAAUCCUUCCAGUAGUAUCGGCCAUUUCCCCUACUUUCCUCCACAUUUUCUCAAAUGGUCGUGCUAGAGACAAAAACAGUCAUGGAUAAUUAUGAGGAUGGUAUCUUUCCGAAUGGGAUAAGAGAAUUCCUACUAUUCUCUUUCUUUCUUUCAAUUGAAGAAAUAAUUGGAAAAUAAAACAGCAAGUACAAAAAUGAGUAAUAAACCCCAGUAUAGACUGGUACGAUUCAAUUCAACAUUUUGUUCAUUCGGGUUUGAUUGUGUCAUAGCUCUAUAAUUCAAAUUAGGUUUAUCGUUGGAUGAACUGCAUUGCUGAUAUUGACCCCAAAAAAGAAACGGUAGGUACAGCUAGUCCGUGAACAGCCAACCAUCGCACUGUAAAAAUUGGAUAGGUUCGAUCUAUGGUCAUUGGGGGCCUCCUAAAAGGAUUUACUAAAUUCAUCAAGUUGUUCCAAAGAAUCAAAACGGCCGGUUAUCAAUGGAAUACCUUGUCGGCUCUCUGUGAAAUACUCGUUUGGCCGAGGACUUCCAAACACGUCGUAAGCUAAACCCGUACUGACGAAUAACCAACCCGCAAUGAAUAGGGAAGGUAUAGUAAUGCUAUGAAUGACCCAGUAUCGAAUACUGGUAAUAAUAUCAGCAAAAGAACGUUCUCCCGUGCUUCCAGACAUUCUGAGCUCCACAAAUUUUUGUACAUUCAAAAAAGGGAAUCGAUUCCUUGAAAGAUGGGAUCAGUAAAUGGAAAACUACUGAUAUUGCAUCUUUGUGAGAUCGUCAAUUUUGUACCAAAGGUUUAUUUCAAGUAUACCGAAUCAGUAUAGCUAUCCUUCCUCUGGCACAGCAACGCAGUCUCGAUCGGUACCGAAAUGCUACAUAAUUCUUUUCUUCUUUUUUUGUUCCUUGUCUAUGCAUAACUCUAUGUUAUUCAAUAGAUCAAUAGAAAAUUACUCAAAUUCCUUAUAAGAUUUCCAUUAUUGGAUUCAUAAUAGAAAGUAAAGAUCUUGGAAAAGCGUGAAUCGAUGGUUUCUAAUAAUUUAUGAAGCAUAUUAUAAUAUUCACACAAUUCAAUUAUAUGUAUGCGAAAUCUAUAAUAAACCCAUUUUUUGGUUAAAAGUUUUUUUGUUCAAAUCUUUUUAUUUCAAGUAAUUGGUUGGUCGUAUAAUACAAUAAAUAUACUGUAAUACAAAAUACAAUAGUAUAUACUAUAUUAGUGAAAGAAACAGAACAUGAAAGAAACAGAACCCAGUUGGAACAAUCCAUAUUCGUGAUGCAACCGUUAUUGUAUUAGAUCCAAAACAAAGGUUCUUUCUUGACCAAACUAGAAGUAUGGAACUCCAUGAUAUGGAAAGACAGAAUAUAGAAUCUAAAAGGAUAAUGGAAGUUGUUCGUCUUUGAAUCGAGUUGGACCUGAAAAAAAAGAAUAAAAAUAUAAAAAUGAAAAAUAGAGUAAAGGUUUUAUUUUUUUCGAUAGAUCGUGGGACACCUUUUUCUUUUCAUUCGAAAUAUUAUGUUAUGGGCAAUUAAGCAACCUAUUACUGUACUGAGUCCAAUGAGUUAAAAUAAAUAAAAGGUAAAUAGUAUCAGGCCGUUCGUUCCAAAAAGGAUUAGAUCCUAUUGAAAUAGAAAGGAAAUGAUUAAAAUGGAAUUUUCAAAUCCAAUUCUUUUAUUCCAAAAUUACUUAAAUUACUUAUAUUUUAUUUAAUAUUUUAUUUAAUAUUUAAGUAUAAGUCCAUAAGUAAUUUAAGUUUUGAAUGAAGUUACACGGCACAGUUCUUAAUUACUAUUACUUUUACUUAUACUUUAUAUUUUACUUACUUUUACUAUUACUUUAUUCAACUCACAAAUACUUUAUUCAACUCACAAAUUCCACAAUGAAUCUGUUGAUUCCGAAUCAUAGGAUCGGUCAAUGUCACAGCAGAUGAAUCGAAUUUUUCUACCUAUGUCACUCUUAGUUAGUCUUAUCUAUAAUGACUGAUGAAUCCAGAAUUUUCAAUUGGAACUAAACUAAUUCUGUCAAUUGAUUUUUUCUUGCCGUCGUAUUUUGUAAAAAUUGAAACUUAGGUAAGUGUUUUAUCAACAUAUGUAGCAAAAGAACAUAUCUAAUUUAGCUCUUUCAUGCUUACUAUAACUAGUUAUUUCGGUUUUCUACUGGCUGCUUUAACUAUAACCUCAGCUCUAUUCAUUGGUUUGAACAAGAUACGACUUAUUUGAAAUGAAUUGAAUGAAAAAUUGAUAAAAACGAAUAUUUCUCUGAGAUUCCGGGUAUUCUAUGGUUCUUUCUCACAUCAAUUGCCAAUUCUUGGUCAUUGAGAUUCACGGAUAAUUCAGAUUAAUAUUUAGGGAUAGAUCUUACCUUUCUUUUUAUCCCCUUAAACAAACCGAAAUGAUUGAAGUUUUUCUAUUUGGAAUCGUCUUAGGUCUAAUUCCUAUUACUUUAGCAGGAUUAUUCGUAACCGCAUAUUUACAAUAUAGACGUGGUGAUCAGUUGGACCUUUGAUUGAGUAAUAUUUCUUUCUUUUUUUGAUUGACCUCCUGCAGGAAGGAGGUCAAAUUCAAGUUACAAUUCAACUUUUUGUUUUGUUAAAUUAUUAAUUAUUUUAUUGUGAUUCGACAUCAAAUAAACCGAAUCACGCUCUGUAGGAUUUGAACCUACGACAUCGGGUUUUGGAGACCCGCGUUCUACCGAACUGAACUAAGAGCGCUUUCUUAUCCUUAUGACAGGAGAUACGACUGUACUGUAAAGAAAAGUAAUUUUUCUACCCCCAAUACGUCUUGCAUACAUAUAGUAUGCAAGACCGGAAGAUUAUGUCCAAUUUUAAUCGAUCUCAAUGAAUCCCUCGUUACUGCCCAUGGGAGAAGUAAUAGGUAGGGAUGACAGGAUUUGAACCCGUGACAUUUUGUACCCAAAACAAACGCGCUACCAAGCUGCGCUACAUCCCUUUUCAAAAUUGUUGUACAGUUUCAUUGUACAAAAUCCCUGUCUUGUUUUCCAUAUCGUCAUUUUCUCCUCCAUCUAUAUACAAUUUUCUUGUCAUUUCUUCUUUUUGGUUUCAUAUAAUAAAAGAAUUAUAUACAUCUGAAACCUAACGUAUAAAAAAGUUAAUAUUUAUCAGUAAUGCUCAGGAACAAGGGAUUAGAUUUUUUUUCUUUUACAAAAAAAGAAAAAAAUCUAUUGCUUCAUUGUACAUAUCUAUUUUAGUUAGGAAUCCUGUUUAGUUAGGAAUUCCGUGUAAAAAAAUACAAAUGAUCUUGAACUACAGCAUCUGACCAUAUAUGUAUUACAAUCCAUAAUAGAAGGAGGAUUUUCAAUGCGAGAUAUAAAAACAUAUCUCUCCGUGGCACCUGUGCUAAGUACUCUAUGGUUUGGGUCUUUAGCAGGCCUAUUGAUAGAAAUUAAUCGGUUAUUUCCGGAUGCCUUGUCAUUCCCCUUUUUUUAAUUCUAGUUAUUGAUUGAUAUGCGAAGAAAUGAAGAAAAUUAGAGAUACAAUUCCACGUGACUAAAAUUUCGAAUUUCGCCCCUAUUUUUUCAGUUCUUUAGGAUAGGAAGGAAAAGAAAAAAGUGUAUUGAACCUCAGCAAAAAUGUGGUAGAUCGAAGAUCGAAUUUUGGAGAACAGAAAUGAAAAUGUGGAUCCAGUCUACGGCGAGUUCCACGAAAUCAUAGCAUAGAAAGAAGAUAUUUAACUUAAAUAAUAAAUAAAAUAAAUAUUAAUAAAAUAUUGAGAUUUAGGAUAGGAACAAUUGAGAGUUAGAAAGAAAUUGUAUUAUUUAAUUAUUACUCCAUUAAAUUAUUACUUUAUUAUUCUAGUAAAAUUGUUACUCCAUUAAUAUAAUAUUAAUUAUCAUUAUAUAAUGAAAUGAUAAUUGCAACGAAAUACUUAGAAAUUCCAUUUCUAGUUAGUAACUUCUAUCGAUUUUUUUUGUUCUUUUCUUCUUCUUCAGCUCGGAUCGAAAAUAGAAGAGUUAAGCCGAUCCAAAAUUCAAAGGAGGUUCAUGGCCAAGGGUAAAGAUGUCAGAGUCAUAGUUAUUUUGGAAUGUACCAGUUGUGCCCGAAAUGAUGUCAAUAAAGAAUCGCCAGGUAUUUCUAGAUAUAUUACUCAAAAGAAUCGACACAAUACGCCUGGUCGAUUAGAAUUGAGAAAAUUUUGUCGCUAUUGUAACAAGCAUACGAUUCAUGGAGAAAUAAAGAAAUAGAUCGAACAGAACGCGUGUGCGCUCUCGCCAAGGAA